UACGGAGGGUGCAAGCGUUAUCCGGAUUCACUGGGUUUAAAGGGUGCGUAGGCGGGUAGGGAAGUCAGUGGUGAAAUCUUCGAGCUCAACUCGGAAAUUGCCGUUGAUACUAUUUAUCUUGAAUAUCGUUGAGGUUUGCGGAAUAUGUCAUGUAGCGGUGAAAUGCUUAGAGAUGACAUAGAACACCUAUUGCGAAGGCAGCAGGCUAAACGAAGAUUGACGCUGAGGCACGAAAGCGUGGGGAUCAAACAGG
rnacentral:rRNA from 1 species